AGCGAACGCUGGCGGCAGGCUUAACACAUGCAAGUCGAACGGGCGUAGCAAUACGUCAGUGGCAGACGGGUGAGUAACGCGUGGGAACGUACCUUUUGGUCGGAACAACCCAGGGAAACUUGGGCUAAUACCGGAUAAAGCCCUUACGGGGAAAGAUUUAUCGCCGAAAGAUCGGCCCGCGUCUGAUUAGCUAGUUGGUGAGGUAACGGCUCACCAAGGCAACGAUCAGUAGCUGGUCUGAGAGGAUGAUCAGCCACAUUGGGACUGAGACACGGCCCAAACUCCUACGGGAGGCAGCAGUGGGGAAUAUUGGACAAUGGGCGCAAGCCUGAUCCAGCCAUGCCGCGUGAGUGAUGAAGGCCCUAGGGUUGUAAAGCUCUUUUGUGCGGGAAGAUAAUGACGGUACGCAAGAAUAAGCCCC
rnacentral:rRNA from 1 species